rnacentral:tRNA from 1 species
GAGGGUAUAGCUCACUGGUAGGGUGCAUGCUUAGCAUGCACAAGGUCCUGGAUUCCAUCCCCAGUACCUCCA